ACAGCCACAUCACAUUGAAACACCGGUUCAUGUACAAUCACUGAAGUUAAGCAAUGUCAAGACUGGUCAGUACCUUGAUCGGUGACCACUUGGGAAUACCAGGUGCUGUAAG